CCUACGGGAGGCACCAGUGGGGAAUAUUGGACAAUGGGCGAAAGCCUGAUCCAGCAAUGCCGCGUGUGUGAAGAAGGUCUUCGGAUUGUAAAGCACUUUCGACGGGGACGAUGAUGACGGUACCCGUAGAAGAAGCCCCGGCUAACUUCGUGCCAGCAGCCGCGGUAAUACGAAGGCGGCUAGCGUUGCUCGGAAUGACUGGGCGUAAAGGGCGCGUAGGCGGUUUAUGCAGUCAGAUGUGAAAUCCCCGGGCUUAACCUGGGAACUGCAUUUGAGACGCAUAGACUAGAGGUCGAGAGAGGCGUGUGGAAUUCCCAGUGCAGAGGUGAAAUUCGUAGAUAUUGGGAAGAACACCGGUGGCGAAGGCGGCAACCUGGCUCGAUACUGACGCUGAGGCGCGAAAACGUGGGGAGCAAAUAGGAUUAGAUACCCGAGUAGUC
rnacentral:rRNA from 1 species